UUGAGGAAACAUGCCACAGGCCUGUGACACUGUCGUGUGGCCCAACACAGGUCUUUACACAACUGUUUCCCCCUUUCUAACCCAGAAACCCUAAUUUUUUAUACUUUGUAUUCUUCCUCCCAACCCUUCAAAAAACCCUAGCCAUCGUUUUCUCCUUUCCUUACCAUUCCGGCCACCAUCGCACAUCUCCUUUUUCCUUUCCCUUCAUCGUCCAUUCUGUGAACCACAAACCCUUUCCCCUUUUCCCUUCCUUCUUCUUUUCCCUUUUUUCUGCGACCAAGCCCAUCGUCAUUUGUCCCUCAUCGCGCCUCUACGUCUUGUACCACAACUACAAACACCUCCCUCCCCUUCUUCCUUCCACCUCGUCCCCUCAUCGACCCGAUCUCCUUUUCCCUUCUCC
rnacentral:lncRNA from 1 species